rnacentral:rRNA from 1 species
AGACCCGAAACCCGGUGAUCUAGCCAUGGGCAGGUUGAAGGUUGGGUAACACUAACUGGAGGACCGAACCGACUAAUGUUGAAAAAUUAGCGGAUGACCUGUGGCUGGGGGUGAAAGGCCAAUCAAACCGGGAGAUAGCUGGUUCUCCCCGAAAGCUAUUUAGGUAGCGCCUCGUGAAUUCAUCUCCGGGGGUAGAGCACUGUUUCGGCUAGGGGGCCAUCCCGGCUUACCAACCCGAUGCAAACUGCGAAUACCGGAGAAUGUUAUCACGGGAGACACACGGCGGGUGCUAACGUCCGUCGUGAAGAGGGAAACAACCCAGACCGCCAGCUAAGGUCCCAAAGUCAUGGUUAAGUGGGAAACGAUGUGGGAAGGCCCAGACAGCCAGGAUGUUGGCUUAGAAGCAGCCAUCAUUUAAAGAAAGCGUAAUAGCUCACUGGUCGAGUCGGCCUGCGCGGAAGAUGUAACGGGGCUAAACCAUGCACCGAAGCUGCGGCAGCGACACUGUGUGUUGUUGGGUAGGGGAGCGUUCUGUAAGCCUGCGAAGGUGGCCUGUGAGGGUUGCUGGAGGUAUCAGAAGU